GAGAGCUAUCCUCACAUCAAAGAAUAAGAGAAGAAACCUGCAGAGUAUUAUAAAAUCCAAAUACAAGAAUAUGGAUGACACUGAAGAUUCGGCUACGGUUGCAAACCGUCUCAGAGGGCUAUCCUCAUAUCAAAGAAUAUGAGAAGAAACCAGCAAAGUUUCAUAAAAUCAAAAUAUAAGAAUAUGGAUUACACUGAAGAUUCAUCAAGACAUGUCCCAGCUGAAAAGAAAGGAGCGUCGCGCAGUAAAGGGAGGACUACUGGUGUUUACACUCCUUUACAACUCUUCCGUACAUUAAGG